ensembl:lncRNA
AAUCCUGCUGGUCAAACAGAUGUGUGGCAACCUGAGUAAGCACAUAAAAAUGAUUUUGGGAACCCCACGCCUUAGAGAAGGUCAGUGACCUCUGCCUGCCCUCUGCGCUUUGCCCACCCCCACCCCCUGCCCACCAUGGUGUGUGACAUUGGUGCCAAGGGGCAAGUUCAGCCGGAGUGAUGUUCUUGGUAGAGCUGAAGUGGUCCACCACAGCUACAGCAGACAAAGCUCUUUGUUCUCAACUCACGCUGCUAAUCGUUCAAUUCCAAGGACAACCAGGAACAUCGCAUUUUGUUUCCAGAGCUGCAUGAUAUCUUGGAGGAAGCACGGGUGUCCCACUUGCAUAUCCUGACCCUCACCCCUUUGGUGCAGAGGGGCCAGGCCACCAGCUACCAGCACCUGCCCAGCAGGGGAGGCUGAAGUGAUGGGAAAUCAGUGCCCCCUGGAAAAAGCCCUCAACAAUAACUGCUAAGAAUUGAUACAUAAAUGCCUUAGCUCCGUCUCUCAGGGAUUCAAGUGCUUACAAAACCAGCCUGAGAUGCAGAGCUCACGAAAACCACUGCAAUUGCUGGAUGCUGGAAAAUUUAUGGAGCUGCAGAGCCAGCAGGAUGCAGAGUAAACAGCACUGAAGAGAGUAAGUCUAGCUGUGGCAUCCUGACCUUGCCUCUGGUCUCCAAAGUUAUUCUCAACCCUAAGAAGCCAGGAUUCAAGGACGAAGCAUGGCUUCACACAAAUGCAGAGCCAAAAAGCAUGAGGUUAAUUGUCUAACUGAAGGAAGUUCUUGUAGGCUAGGGCAGUGGUUCUCAAAGUAGGAUCCUUUUACCAGCGUCACCUGGGAACUUGUUAGAAAAUUCUUGGGCCCCAUUCCAGACCCUCUGAAUCAGAAUUUUGGGGGAUGGGGCACCAUCAGUCUGUUUUAUUAAGCCCUCCAGGUGAUUUGAAUGCAGUCUUAAGUUUGAGAAUUACUGAUUUAGGGGCAUGUUAUUACAAAGGUGGCUCACGGCAUUGGCAUCCGUUGGGAGCUGCUUAGAGAGGCAGAAACUGCACUUAACAAGAUCCCCAGAUGAUCUGAGUACACCUCAAAGUUGAGAAGCUCUGGGUAUACAUUUCUAGUCUCAAACCUUGAAGUUUGUGAUUCACUGGGUCUGGGGGGGGGCCUGCCAACUUAUAUUUCUAAAAAGCUCCCAAGUAUUGCUGAUGCUCGGAGAAGGCAAUGGCACCCCACUCCAGUACUCUUGCCUGGAAAAUCCCAUGGACGGACGGGCCUGGAGGGCUGCAGUCCAUGGGGUCGCUGGGAGUCGGACACGACUGAGCAACUUCACUUUAUUUUUUCACUUUCAUGCAUUGGAGAAGGAAAUGGCAACCCGCUCCAGUGUUCUUGCCUGGAGAGUCCCAGGGAUGGUGGAGCCUGGUGGGCUGCCGUCUAUGGGGUCGCACAGAGUCGGACACGACUGAAGCGACUUAGCAGCAGCAGCAGCAUUGCUGAUGCUGUGGUUUUGGGGGCCACACUUUGAGUAUCAAGAUUCUAGUCCUCAGGCCAGGCUUAGAAUCUGGGUCAUGGGAGGGUUUCAAGGCAAUCAAAGUUUGAGCCAUUCUGAACAGACAUUCAGGGUGCACAUCGCUCAACUCCAGAGACGCCAUUCACACAGACUGAGUCAAGGACCUGAAACCCUCAGCUAAGUAAGAUAAGAGGCAGGGUAGAAUAAAGAGUGGGAUUUACAGUUAGAAGUGGAUUUGAAUCGUAACCUUGCCUCUAACGUAGUAUGAUCUUGGGAAAAUUAUUUAAGUCUGUGUUUCAGUGUCCUUAUCUGUACAAUGGAGAUGGUCAUACCUGCCCCACUAGAUGAGAUAUUCAAUGGUCAGCACACAGAACAAGUGCAGCAAAUAUUCGUUUGCUCUCAGCCAAGGGAAUAGCAGUGUCAUCAGAUGCACUGUCUCCUUCUCCUCCUCCAGUCUCCUCCCAGGCAGGGGCCUAAUUGCCUGCUUCAGGCUGAAGGCCAGGUAAGCGUGAUGGGCUUUUCUUUAGCACUCCCAGGGGUCAGAUGAAGGUGAUACAAGAAUAAUGCAGGCUAUUUAUAUUAGGAACUCUUCUCAUGGGUUUGUAAAAAUCGAUUCAUAAAAAUGACCAAUGUAGCCAAUUUCAAACCACACCCAGGUUUCAUCUAUCUACCAAAGUCAAAAGAGACAGCAGCAUCUCUGGUCCUGACAAGGCUCUCUGUGUUGCCCCUGGUGCCUGGAGUCACACAGAGGCUUUGUGGGGGCACCUUGGCAGGGAAGUCUGCCCUCCUCCACUUAAAGCACACAGUUGGGCCCCUCCCAUGCGUUGCUGGUGUUGAUUUUGAGAAGAAGACACUCAGGGGUUCUCCAAAACAAAUUAAAGACCAAAUUAAAGUAUGUCUUUGGGGCAAAUGGAAAGUCAUUUGGGGUACAGAGCAGACUGCAAAAUGCCAUCAAAGCUUUAAAACCCAAACCGACCAGGGCUGGUAAGAGGCCAGAUGAACCUUCAUGGUUUCAGAAAAUAGACAUCCUUAAAUUUGCUUUUUUGCACUUUCAGAGAAUCAGAGGAAAAGGAUAAGUGCUUUUUCUUUUUUUGUUUUUAAUUUCAGGGCUUGUUUUAAUUUUAGUAGGGGAUGGAAGGACUGCUGAGUUUAGGCAAGAAUUCAGCCUGAGAUAGCCACUAGAGGGCGUCAAUGAUUCAGGAAAGCUCCUAUUUCCAAAAGAGGCCCCAGAAGCUGAAAAGGUCUGAUCUGAGUCGGGUGUCUGGGGGAAAGUGGGUUCCUUAAAACCUUUUAGGCAGGUGCUCACCGAAAGGAAGUAUCCAGGUCCGUAGGGACGCUAGAUAAUUAAACAAUGUAUUUACUGUAUUUUUUCUGAAUGCAAGCCACUUGUCCUUGGUGUGAAAGUACAGAUAAGGGUGUAGGACUUCUAAUGAGUCUGUAACUGAAAAGGGCUCAGGGGGUGGUAUCAAGGACAAGCUUGGAAGUUGUGGGCCGUCAUACCCCAUUAUUUCUAUGUGCUGCCCCAAUAAACUUAAAAUCAAAAUAAAAACAGCAUGUUUGCUAGGCAAAUACAGUAAGGUCUUCAAGUUUUGCAAACUUUCAAAGAUGUGAACAUGCAUGCCAACCUCUGUAUGCCAGCUGUUGUACUGUACUGCUGUACUUUUCAAGGUACUAUGAGAUUAAAAAUGUUUUCUUUA